GGGAAUGUGGCUUAGUGGUAGAGUGCUUGUCUAGCAUGCAUGAAGGCCUGGGUUCGAUUCCUCAGUACUA
rnacentral:tRNA from 1 species